GUAGUUGUGGCCGAGUGGUUAAGGCAAUGAACUUGAAAUCCAUUGGGGUCUCUCCGUGCAGGUUCAAAUCCUGCCAACUACA